AAUAACAGAAAAUGUGGAAAUGGCAGAAGUGCUUAAUGACUUCUUUGUUUCAAUUUUCACCAAGAAAGUUGAUGGCGAUUGGACGUUUAACAUAGUGAAUGGCAGUAAAAAUGAGCUAGGAUCAGAGGCUAAAAUAGGGAAAGAACAAGUUAAAAAUUACUUAGACAAGUUAGAGGUCUUCAAGUCACCAGGGCCUGAUGAAAUGCAUCCUAGAAUACUCCAGGUGCUGACUGAGGAGAUAUCCGAGCCAUUAGCAAUUAUCUUUGAAAAGUCAAGGAAGACGGGAGAGACUCCAGAAGACUGGGAAAGGGUGAAUCUAGUGCCCACCUAUAAAAAAGGAAAUAAGGACAACUAGGGGAAAUACAGACCAAUCAGCUUAACUUCUGUACGCAGAAAG